UACAGAGACUGCAAGCGUUAUUCGGAUUCACUGGGCGUAAAGGGUGCGCAGGCGGCCGGGUGUGUCAGAUGUGAAAUCCCGAGGCUUAACCUCGGAACUGCAUUUGUGACUGCACAGCUGGAGUGCGGCAGAGGGGGAUGGAAUUCCGCGUGUAGCAGUGAAAUGCGUAGAUAUGCGGAGGAACACCGAUGGCGAAGGCAAUCCCCUGGGCCUGCACUGACGCUCAUGCACGAAAGCGUGGGGAGCAAACAGG
rnacentral:rRNA from 1 species